rnacentral:sRNA from 1 species
AGCUGUUCCUGAUCCGAGGUGAGC